GUUAAGCGAUUUUUUUUUUCUGUUUAAUAUUUAAAAAAACAAAAACAAAUCAAUAUGAAAAUUUCCAAAAAUAUUAUAAAGAUUUUAAAAGAUACUCUCUGCUUCUAUUUAGAUACAUACAAUGCACAUAACCAAUGACGUCACACAUAGAUCUAGAUUCACCGCUUAUUAUGACACUAGACAUGGUGAAGGUAUAUGACCUCCACGAGCCAGUGUUUAGAUCAAAGUGAAGCCUUUUAUCAAACUAUUAAUCGUGCCAUUUUUUAGACCAUCUGGCUACCAAUACAUAACAGAAACAUUUAUCCAUUUAUUUAUGAAGAUAAGUCAUCUUUUCGAUGAGUUAUCGAACCAUCUAUCAAUUCAUUUAUCAAUUCAUU